AUUGAACGCUGGCGGGAGGCCUAACACAUCCAAGUCGAGCGGAGCGGCGGACGGGCGGGUAUUGCCUAGGCAUCUGCAUGGUACUAGGGGAUAACGUCAGGAACAGGGCGCUAAUACCGCAUCCUCUCAGAUGAGGCUAGGUCGGAUUAGCAAGUUGGUGGGGUAAAGGCCUACCAAGGCGACGAUCCAUAACUGUUCUGAGAGGAUGAUCAGUCACACUGGAACUGAGACACGGUCCAGACUCCUACGGGAGGAAGCAGUGGGGAAUAUUGGACAAUGGGCGAAACCCUGAGCCAGCCAUGCCGCGUGUGUGAAGAAGGUCUGCGGAUGGUAAAGCACUUUAAGUUGGGAAGCGUUACCAACAGAAUAAGCACCGGCUAACUACGUGCCAGCAGCCGCGGUAAUAC
rnacentral:rRNA from 1 species